UUUUCAUCUGGUUCUUGUAGAGGGCCUUUCCAAAAAUCAGCAUCUGAAGGACCAUCUUGUACAUCACUGUUAUCUGAAUCUUUAUCUGAAGUAUCUGAAUCUUCUGAAGAAACCUGAUCUCCAUGUGUCUUUUUUUUUGACUUCUUUUUUCCUGAAUGAGACAGUUUUGCCUUCUUAAUUUUUGGUUGUUUAGAGUUCCCUACAGCUGUGCCUCUUUUCUUGCUUGCUUUGACUUCUUUCCUCCUGUGAUGAAAGUUUAGUUUGUAAGAACAUUCUGGACAUAGUCUCAAUUUCACAAGUGCAUUCCUCUUUUCACCAUGUUCAACAUAACCAAAAUUCACCUCCCAGCUCUUCAGGCCUUCUUCACCAUCACAGUGCUUAUUUCCACAAGAAAACUGACCUUUUCCUGAAAUUACUUCCUUCUCAUGUCUCCAUCUAAAUCCAAACUUAUUCUCCUUGUAUCUACUGAGAUCUGCUAUACAGUAUUCUUUGAAUAAUUUAUCAUAAUACUUCUUUGCAAGCCUCUUCUCCCAAUUCAUGUCUGCUUCAUCAUCUUCUCUCCACAGGAAUCUAUGGUUUUCUCUUAUAACAUCGAGAUCCGUCUUGUCAUUCUCACCAGAACGUCGGAAAUCCUCCAUUUUCCCACCAUAGUACAAAAUGUAGUCAUUCACUAACUUUCUAUGUCUCGAAUAUGCAUCCAUCGAUAUCAGGUGAAAUCUUCUCUUCCUUGCUUCUUCUCUGUCCCAUUCUUCAGCAGCAAAUUGUCUGUGAGCAACCUUGACCUGUUUUGGUUUUUGGAAUGGCUUUACCAGAAGGCUAUCUUCCUUUGUACUUUUAGUCUUUUGCACAGACUUCUCUCCAUUCUCCUCGUCACUAAAAUCAGAAUCAUAGCCGCCUUGGCCACGUGCGGCCGCGGCGAGGCGCAGCUGGCCAGGCACCAUGGCGGCGGCUGCCGGUGGACGCGAGCCGCCUCCUACGUCCGCUCUGCCGGGCUCAGCUCGCGGGCCGCUCCUGCCGGCCCCUCCCGGAAACCCG
rnacentral:lncRNA from 1 species